CUCUGUAAAGCUGUAUGUGCCACCAGGCAGAGCAUGUAAAGUUUUCUGUGGAAGUUUUGGGGUAGGUUUCUGUUCAUUCAUUUAUCCCAUGGGCUUUCACCGCUACACGCCAUGCAUUGUUCUGUCAUAAUCAACCAGGUGGCAACAGAUUCUGAGAAGAGUAUGACCAGUCACUAGUCUCUAGCAACUGGAUAGAGUUAAACUCAUAGAGUAAAUAACUAAAAUGCAAUUAAAUUGCUGCUAUGGGGGAAGUGGCUGACUGCAAGGUCAGCAGUGACUCCAGAGGAUAAAAUUUUGAGUUUAAAGAGGGGUAGAAAAGGCAGACAAAGGAAGACCAUUCCAGUGAGAAGAAACACUAUUUGCAAUAACAACUACAAAUGCGAGGAGUAGUUCCUGUGGCUGCAACAUAGGCCAUUAAUGAAGAAUGGGACCAAACAAUGAAAAGCCUCCUGUGAUAACCUAGUAGGUUUCUUGGUUCUCUUGCCAAUUUGGAAUCACAGAGGAUUUUAAAGAAGUCCCGUCUUCAAACUCAAACCUCAUUCUGGCUUCUGUGAUCAAUCACCUUUUGGGCUUUUCCGGUUGGCCAGGCUGCCGGCUUUGACACGAGCGCCUCUCAGCCCUGAGUGUAGAGUUCAAUCUUUGUCAUCACGCAAAUAGUGUAAGAACGGCCAGUAGAAACAUUCCGGGAGAUUGUUCAAUCUCGUGAAGAGAGACAGUUUUCAGAGUAACAGUGGUUUGGAGUUAAGCACAUCUGAAUUGUCCAGAAAAUCGCUGCAGUUCCACAUUUCACUAAGCUAAUAUAAGAAUGGCCUCAGGACAAGUUUUAGAUGAAGCGAACUGAGAUGAAACUAGAAAGAAGAAUCCAAUGAUAAAAAGUUCCUUACUUGGUAUUAUGUGUAUCAAUGGUAUGGAAAAGCUCAUGUAAUUCUUCUCCACUCAGAACACCAUCUGCAAAAUAUGCUUUGAAUUCUUCAAAGGACAAUUUUCCAUCAUCUGAAACGGUAAAUCUGGAUAAGCAGAGAUGGAAGAAACACAUUAAUAACAGAUGAAAGUAAAAGAUCUCUACAUGAUACAGCAGCACAGAAUGCAAGGGAGUGAAUGGACAUGAAGGAAAAGGAAAGCAUCCUUCCUUCUGUGCAAGAAGCUGGUUUGCUAGUUAUUUCAGGAAGCUGCCAGAUGACUUACGUGAUGGAACGAUCCUCUCCCUUUACAAAGAGACAGCAGUGGACUAAGGAGGAGGAACUCAGGGUCACAAAACUCCUGCCGUGUGGUCCUACCAACACUAUACUGAACAAAGUGGAGUUUGUCUUUGAGAAAAAGAUGAUAAGAUUUAGCAGGAUUGGACCUUCAAGACCCGCUGAGCGUAUUUUUUCCUCUAAAGAUGGCCCACAGACCAUUUUAAUUCAGUUAAAAUGUGGAUUCCUGGGCCCUACUAGAGAAUCCAAAUCUCAGAGAGGGCAUGGAGGGGUGAGGCAGCGAAGGAAUCAGGAUUUUUCGUGACCUGUGAGACUCUUCCCCACAGCAACGCUUAAAAUAAAGGACACAACAGACUU